GCAACGGCACACACACACACACACACACACACAGACCCACGGUCAUGCCUGCAGACAUGGACAGGCGUAUGGUCUCUCGUGCUGUGGGCUUGCGUAUGUGUAGUCGUCUGCGUGUGUGGUCUACAGUCGCGUGUGCCGCUGCGUCCUGCCUCGAGUGCGUGUGGACCAGAACAUGGACACAACGGGGGAGGCAGCUGUUUGUCGGAGGACGAGCGACUCUGUGCUUCUCAUAAGAGCCGGGCCCCUAUCGACGCCCGCAAAUACUCACGGACUCUGCGCUGUCCCUUUUUUUCUUGUCUUUCGGUUUCGUUUUUCCUUUUGCUUUUGAGCACUGCCGCAUGACGGGUGUACGCGUGCGCUCACGUGUGCCGGGGGCGUGUGUGCCUCUUGCCGGGCUACUCGCACUGCAUCGAGGCGGUCGUGCCGAUUGGACGCCGUGCCAUGCACGCUCCUGCACUUUGCCGACCACACUCUCUUCACCCGUGUGCGUGUGUGCGCGCUAAAAGAAGGGCAAAUGAGUAAACAAACCGCCAUCGUGCCAUGCGCGAUGAUCGCGUAGGACGGGAGUGGUGGUGUCGGCGCGGGCCAGCAGGCACGCACACAGAGGGUGUCAAACAAAAAAAAAAAGAAGCGAUCAGUAGCUUCCAUCAGAGACCCCCUCCCUCCUCCUCUGCCCACACCCCUCCCAUCACCACACGGACACGCAGAAUUGCAAGUGAGAGUCUUCGAGCCACAAAGCAACCCAGUGCAACAGUUUCGGUGUGCGUGUUCGUGUUUGCAUCGGUGCGUGAGUAGUAACUCAAGCUUAUGCACGCCCACACAUCUCUCCCUCCCUCGCCUCUCUGUCUGUAUGAUCGCGUUUUUGUUCCCGCUUUCGCACUUCAUCGAGAAG
rnacentral:misc_RNA from 1 species